rnacentral:rRNA from 1 species
CCUACGGGAGGCUGCAGUGAGGAAUAUUGGUCAAUGGCCGGAAGGCUGAACCAGCCAAGUCGCGUGAGGGACGACUGCCCUAUGGGUUGUAAACCUCUUUUACAAGGGAGGAAUAAAUGCUACGUGUAGCAUGAUGCCUGUACCUCAUGAAUAAGCACCGGCUAACUCCGGGCCAGCAGCCGCGGUAAUACGGAGGAUUCGAGCGUUAUACGGAUUUAUUGGGUUUAAAGGGUGCGUAGGCGGUUUUUUAAGUUAGAGGUAAAACGUCGGGGCUUCACCUUGGUUUGCCAUUGAUACUGUAAGGCUAGAGUUCAGGAGAGGUAAGCGGAAUAAGUAGAGUAGCGGUGAAAUGCUUAGAUAUAACUUAGAACUCCGAUAGCGAAGGCAGCUUACCGGACUGCGACUGACGCUGAGGCACGAGAGCGUGGGUAGCGAACAGGAUUAGAUACCCCAGUAGUC